rnacentral:rRNA from 1 species
CGCAUCUGUGCAUGCAGCAUAUCAAUAAGCGGAGGAAAAGAAACUAACAAGGAUUCCCUUAGUAACGGCGAGUGAAGCGGGAAGAGCUCAAAUUUGAAAUCUUCAAGGUUUUACCUUGACGAAUUGUAGUUUAAAGAAGUGUUUUCUGUUGAAGUUUUGGUAAAAGUUCUUUGGAAUAGGACAUCAUAGAGGGUGAGAAUCCCGUAUUUGACCAUUAUUUUCAGCUGUGUGAUACACUUUCAAAGAGUCGGAUUGUUUGGGAAUGCAGUCCAAAAUGGGUGGUAAAUUUCAUCUAAAGCUAAAUAUUGGCGAGAGACCGAUAGCGAACAAGUACCGUGAGGGAAAGAUGAAAAGAACUUUGAAAAGAGAGUUAAACAGUACGUGAAAUUGUCAAAAGGGAAGCGUUUGACACCAGUGUUGUUUUCUCGAAAAUCAAUUAAAAAGAGUUAGAUUUUGUUGUGUAUUGACCUUAACAGCUUGCAUUUCAAUUUUCUUGCUUUUUUUAAUGCACUUUUCGUUUAACGAAGUCAACAUCAGUUCCUUUUGUUGUAAAAAGGUCAUUGGAAGGUGGCUUUCUUUUCGGAGAAAGUGUUUAUAGCCUUUGACUCCUGCAAUCGGAGAGACUGAGGUCUGCAGCGUAGAUCCUUCGGGGUUAGAUACAUUUGUGCUAAGUUAUAGCUUUUUAUAGACAACUUGUUGACUAUGAUUAGUCUUGUAGCUUACUCGCUUAUGCUAUUUUACCUACGCUUAGGAUGUUGAUGUGAUACUGCGAGCA